rnacentral:rRNA from 1 species
ACCGGAAUGAACGGCUAAAUGAAGACUAAACUGUCUCUUGCGGCCAGACCAAUGAAAUUGAUCUUCCAGUACAAAAGCUGAAAUAUACCCAUAAGACGAGAAGACCCUGUGGAGCUUUAAAACCAAGCGCAUCAAGCAUGCCUCUUGGAUUUUUAGUUGGGGCGACUUUGGAGCAUAAAAAAACCUCCAAAACAUGAAAUUUAAAUUAAGACCAACACGACAAAAUAAUAACAUAAGACCAGCAACCAACUACACGUUGACUGACCAAUGAACCAAGUUACCCCAGGGAUAACAGCGCCAUCCCCUUCCAGAGUCCAUAUCGACAAGGGGGUUUACGACCUCGAUGUUGGAUCAGGACACCCCAAUGGUGCAGCCGCCAUUAAAG